GGGCGAUUAGCUCAGCUGGGAGAGCAUCUGCCUUACAAGCAGGAGGUCGUAGGUUCAAACCCUACAUCGCCCACCA
rnacentral:tRNA from 1 species